GUUUGCACUUGUCGGGGAAGGGUGAGAACCUUCGAUUAAGGUUCGACUCGAGCGAAAGCGAGAGAACGUUGCCAACGGCAACGGCCCGUAGGUUGAGGAACGAAGCGACGAAUAAUCCUUCCCCCACCACCA
rnacentral:sRNA from 2 species